UUAUCCUUUGUUGCCAGCGAUUAGGUCGGGAACUCAAAGGAGACUGCCAGUGAUAAACUGGAGGAAGGUGGGGAUGACGUCAAGUCAUCAUGGCCCUUACGACCAGGGCUACACACGUGCUACAAUGGCGCAUACAAAGAGAAGCGACCUCGCGAGAGCAAGCGGACCUCAUAAAGUGCGUCGUAGUCCGGAUUGGAGUCUGCAACUCGACUCCAUGAAGUCGGAAUCGCUAGUAAUCGUGGAUCAGAAUGCCACGGUGAAUACGUUCCCGGGCCUUGUACACACCGCCCGUCACACCAUGGGAGUGGGUUGCAAAAGAAGUAGGUAGCUUAACCUUCGGGAGGGCGCUUACCACUUUGUGAUUCAUGACUGGGGUGAAGUCGUAACAAGGUAACCGUAGGGGAACCUGCGGUUGGAUCACCUCCUUACCUUAAAGAA
rnacentral:rRNA from 2 species